UGCGUUCCAUGAAAGCCUAUUUUAUCCCUAUCAUGAAAUGAAAUUUACCCUCACAUUCUAGCAUGGUCUAGAGUGUAUUUUGUGAGCCAAAUCCAGCCCAGAGGGACUCCCAGCUCAAUAGCUCCAUGCUGCUGUGAUCGUUUUCCGACACUACUGUACUGGAAAAGUAAUGUAAAAGUCACCAUACAGGUGUGCAGAUGCACACUAUGUGUGUGUAGCAUGCUUCUCUUGCAACAUAAAACAACAAAAAUGGUAAUAAUUUCUAAUCUGUCAGAAGAACUUAGAGACUUUAGCAAUUAAGACAAUCUGGAUUAUUAGAGGCUGUGGAUAUACUCAGCAAACCAGUCUAAAUCUGAAGCUUUCUGGAUAUGUCUUUAAAUAAAAAUGUGUUUCAAAACUUAAUAAAAAUGUUUGGUCCAUCCCUUAUGUCUCCAAAGAGCCAUCUAAAGGCUACAGGAUACAUAAGAAUGCCAAGGUUUUAGAACUAUGGAAGAGUGGGAGUCACCUUCAUUGCUGCCUUCUUUUGGAUCUUUGGAACUUCAGUGCAACAAUUUUCAUCUAGCUUCGCUGCAGUUGUAACUGUCUUUUAAUGUGAAAUAUUCCUUAAGUUCAUCAAACUUCAUUGUCCUUCUGAGCUGGAAGGUAACACUGCACGUUUACUGGAUAUUUUAUUUUCUAUAUGUAUUAUGUAUCCAGAGGGCAGUUCAUAAUGAAAUGUGACACUGCAACUGAAGGCAAAACGAUGCAGAAGAACAGAAUUACCACAUGCACUGCAAUGUCACAUAUUAAGGCUAGUUAUGAUUAACUUUAUUUCUUUACCCUAUUAACAAGACAAACAAAAAAAAUCCACUGUGGUAAAGCUCUGCAUAAGUGACCUUAAGGUCACUCGAAUAGUACAAAAGUGAUGCAUCCAGAAAUGGCUGUACUUGUUGGUUGACUUCUUGUGUACUAAAAUGCUUCUGGGAAUCUGCAUCUUUAUAACUACUGCCAAGUAUUAUUUCAUAUUUUUGAGUACAUGUUCAAAACGCACCAUCAACAUAUUUUGUAAAGUUAACAUUAAAGAAAUGAAAGUUGUGUGGUAUCUGUAACAAAUAUACUCGGUUGCCUAUUGCAAACAGUUUUCUAAUUGUUUUUGUUUGUUUGUUUGAUUACUUUGUUGGGUUUUUUUGUUUGUUUUGUUGUUUGAAGAAUUAAUUUUCCUUAAGGCUUUAAUGAGGUAAAAAAAAGAAAGCUCCCUCAAACCACCUCUGCAGAAUGGUACAAUUUAGCAGUGGGAUAAAGGAGAAAAAUCUCUGCUUUUGUACUGCUCUGUUCUUAUUCUGUGACUGGGAUCAGUUACAGAGCAGAAAUGUUGUGAGGUCACAAUGAAGAGACCCUUAGAGUAGGGUUUCAGUCUCUGAUGUUGCCCAUAUCUGUUAGAUCUGGUACAAACAAGCAGUUUGUUGUCCUCCUGUCAUUUCUUUGUGGGAGUUCAGGGUAAGGUUGCUACUUCGUCUGAAAAUCACGUAGUUCAGCAGAUAUCUGAAAGGCCUGAAUCAUCCCUUUUAAGGAAAUCAUUGCAGAUGGAAGAUGGAAAUCAUUACAUCUUGGGGAAGUAAUCUGGUACAAGUGAACAUCCUCACAAGUUUUUCCAGGGAAUGUUCCACCAUGAAGAGCUCAUACUGAAGAGCAGCUAACUGGCCAAGUAUGUGGGUGAUGGAAUUUACAAUCUAAGUGAAGAGGAACAUAGCUCUCUUGGAUUUCACGUGUUCCCUGUUGAUAAUAUCUGAAGAUCCUUUUCUGUUUGUUUGUGGAAGUUAAGAUACAUACACACAUACAUAUACAUAUACGUGCCCAUUCCAGCUGCAAAGAUUAUGUUUAUUUUUCAUUCUUUCUUUAUUCAAAAAUAAAUGUCUUUUAGGGGGAGAUUGUUUAAGUUUAUUUAUUUGUGAUUAUGGACCUUAUUCUGUUAUGUCUUUCUUAUGUGUAGAAUAGAUACAAUCAUACAGGGGCAAAGCUAAAAUCCGAAUUAAUGUGCUAUCUCUAAGCCUGAUUCAGAAGAAAGUGAAAUAACACCAUAUAAAUCUCACAAUUACAGGUAAAAUUCAAAACAGGAACACAGGUAUGUCUUUUCUGUAUCCUUGUUCUUUUGGGAAUUACUCUAACUUAUUGUAAGCAUGAUUUUUCUGGCUAUCUCCCCAUGUUAAACUUCUGCUUACUUUUUUUUUUAUUUUUUUUAUUUUAAGUUUUUCCAAGCUCAGGGAGUGCCUUAAUAUAAUUGCAUUCUCAAAAGAACAUUUUAUGCCUCGGUUUUUAGCAUCUGUUCCUUCAAUUGAAUUAUUUACUUCCCUUCUGUAUAUAAUGCAAUGGGAAUGAAAAGCAUAAUAAAUAAACAAAUGGUAAUGUACCUCUGUCAUUUCCCUCCUUGCCAUUCUUUGCUUUCUGAGCUCUCUAAUAUAUAUUGAGAUGAGAGUCCUGGCCUUGCUCAUUCUUUUUGGUUCUUCUCUAAGCUCUGCUGUGACUUCCAAGUAAACUUUAUUAUCAUUAACUUGCUCAGCACAGCAAGACCUCACUAGCCUCUUUACAAACCCAGAACAAGAAAAUAAUCUCUGACCUCAACUAUAUUUUGAUUUUAUAUGGCUCUGCUAGGAUAUACAGUGUUCCCUAGGAGAUGAUUCCACUGAUUCAUUUAAAAGCAUUAUGGUAUUCUGACUGCAUCUUUCAGUGCUAAUGUUUUGAGGUAUGCUGUUGUCUACUGACGGGCUCAAUUCACAAAUAUACCAUUACUUAUGGAAAUGUAGAAGUGCCUUCCAUUAAGGACAGUGCAUAUUUUGGCCCCUUGCAAAACACAGCUCCCUUAAACACAAUACUUCAUUGUUUUCCUGGAUUUUGACUUAAGUUGGAAUGCGUUGUACUCGAGGGCACCACUUGAUGGAUCAGGUUGUUUAUUACGGAAUAUCAGAUUGCCAAAAGGAGACAGCCAGAGAAAGAGCAUUUUUUGCUGAAUAAAUUUCCCUUACUAUUUGCCAAGUAGCCAAUCUAAUUUAUGGGGAAAAAAAAAAACCAAAAACAAAAGCAAUUAAAAGAAUAAGGUAUUGCAUAAUUUUUACUGAGUUUUGUAAUUAAAGUCAACGAAAUAUGUAAUCUUUGAAUUAAUGAAGCUCUGAUUUUCCAGUUUUCAUUUACUAUUUUUAUGACUUUUUCACUAAAUGAAGUUCAACAUUAAUAGAAUUUAUUCUAUGCCUGAUUCUCUCUGUUUCAAAAACUGGUAAUGCUGUCAGAGUUCCUCACAUACCAUGCUACUUAGACACCUGAUACAGAGGGCUUGGUCAUCUUGAAAAUUAAAAAAAGGGCUUUUACAAUCUGUGAAUGAUUUAAGUCAGUCUAAAAAAUACUGCUUCUACACAGUAUCAGAUUACAUAUGCUGUCACAUGUAUUUGCACAAUACUAUAUUUGUACAAUAUACCAUAGUCCAGCAUCGCUGCCAAACAUGUGAGAUCAAAUAUGGUAAAUUACUGUUGUUCUUGAGGUUUGAUACACCAAAAGAAAAACAGAAGUCUGAAAUUACCGAAACUUCAUGGGAAAGAGGAAAGGAGUUCCCAGAAAUAUACUGAGAAACGAAUGCUUCUCAGUUUUGAAAUGAGAUAUCCAGAGCUUUCCAAAAGCAGAUGAAUGUUCUUGACCUGAAGAGUGUUUAUCAACUGUCUGAAUGUCUGCUUAGCAGCUUCGCUCCCUUGAAAAUGUUCUUAAUCUGAGAAGGUGAGAAGAUGAGAUUCUGUUGCCAUCUUUCUAGUGGAGGUCUCCAUUCACUUAGUACAUCUUUCCUCAAUAAUAAGUCUGGUAUUGAUAUGAUAAUUUUAUGGGCUAUGUUAUCAAAAGAUAACUCUAAAAUUACAAAGGAACCAGUGUGUGUACAGAAGAAAGGAUUUGUUUGGAGUGGUGUUAGUAGAAUUUCCUCUAGUUAGAAAUGUUUCUGACUUCUUUCACAGUGUUUAAUAGUGCCCUUUUACAAAUAGAGCUGGCAAAGAAUGAAAUACUACUACAAUGGCAGACAGAUGUUCCAAGCUUUCGGUUAAUCUCAAACAAUAAGGCAAAGUUAGCUUUGAAAUAAUUGCAGAAAGCUCAACUUGAUACCUUAAAUAUCAAAUGCUGUUCCCUGCUGAGCAAUACAAUAGUUCCGAUGCAAAUAAUACAUAACAUUUUGCUUUCAUUUUUUCCAAUUGCUUUAUAAUAAUUACUGAGUACUCUAAGUUCUGACUAAUGUGAGUGGAAGUUCUAAGGAUACAAUGGCUGCAGCUGGGAGAACUGAGUCAGCAGGUUAAAAUCCUGGACACAUAAGACCACAUGUCUUUGCAGGAAAGGAAAGUCUGUUUUAUGAAAGCCAUUGUUCUGUUGUUUUGGGGGACAGGAUUUGUGUUUUUGUUCUUUGUUAAUACAAAGCCUAGCACAGCUGAUCCUUGAUCUCUGAUUAGUGACUCCUUGGUGUUACAGCAAUCAAAAAACAAAUAACAAGAACAGAAUCUCGGGGCUCCCAUGUUGUUAAGUUACUUGUCCAAAUCCGCAGAGCAAAAUGAUACCAGCCAAAUUUUAAGCACACGGAAUUUCUUUCACCUCAUCUCAACCUCAAACCUCUGUUUUGUUUCUCUAUAGCAGGUAACUCUGUCUGAAGUGUUUCAGUGCAUCCCAUAGGCCUUGGCAUUGCUGCUGCCAGCACUUCUGUUCCCCUAGCUCAUACAAAGGCCACUUGGCUGCUCCUUCUUUCUAGGCUUGGCGACUGGGAGACAGCAGUGGAGGUGGAGAAGUGAAUGAUGGGAGUGGUGAGGAUGUGUUGGACUGAACACUACCUGAUGUGCUUGAGCACUGAUAGCAGGGUGCUACAGCACCUUUGUGGCAGGACAUGAAGCAAAGCAGUUAGCAUGGUUUUGAGUCUCGUGACUUUUUUCUUACUAGUAUUAAGUAUUCACUUCAAAAGUGAAUUUAUUCUUUUGGAUUGCAUUGAUAACGUGCAAUUCAAUGAUCCAUUCAAAAUACAGGUAAUCAGAUAAGUUCACUGGUCUCUUCCCUAGAAAAGGACUUUCCUCAAGUCAGGAGAGCAGGAUACUGAGCACAGUGUGUAUCCCACCUACUUUUAGCAAAGUCAGUGGGAUUGUUUGCAUAAGAUGUGGUCCAGUGUUAAGAAAUUAUUUAAUGUAUAGGAGCAAGAAACGUGUAUGUCUUAAUGUCUUGGAAUUCAUCCAUUUUCAGGCCCAGACAAAGGGAGUAUUAAGAACAGCAAGAGAGACCCAUCAGGCGCAUAGUGUACAAAGGGUGUGAGGCAUGGGAUAGAAUAGUACAGAAUAGGACAGGAAAGAAAGGAAAUAGUCUCAGUUGGACAAAUAAGGUAACUUAUCCAAGUAACUUCUGCAGAUCUGCCUGAUUGUGCCAUGUGAGGGGGUUAUGGCUUUCUUGAAAUUAAAGUUUAAGAAAUGAAAUCGUUAUAAAAAUAAAAUAAGGAGUGGGCACAGGCUACAAAUAUGUUACUUCUUUAGGGGAAAAAAAAAAAAAAAACCUAAUUAAAAAUAAUUUCCUCCUCUGUUUCUUUGCCAAGCCUUAUUUUCAGGAGUCUGUGCUUUCCUUCAUGCGGCCAGUGAAAUCUCAGGCACCUAGAGCAAAUAGAGGCAGUACACUUAGGACUUGGCUGUUACAGAAAAAAAGAGGAAAUGAUUUUUAAAUAUUUUGUUUUAAAAUAUGCUAGAUUGUAAUUUUUAUAUCCACACACAUUUUAUUAUUAACUUUGGCUGGUGCACGGUUCCCUUUAUGAAACAACAGCUUAACCCUUCACCUUUCAUGUGCAGUUAAACUCAGAUCCUGUGCAAACUUGUGUUUCUGUGCUCACUAUUUUCAGGACACACACGUGAGCAAUUCUAUUUAAAAUUGAGAUGUGAGGUACAUCAAAGUUGAUUAGUGACAGUACAGAUAAGUUCACCUGCUUAUCCUUAUUCACACGAGUGAAGCCACACUCUGUGGUUCUUAUCUUGUCUGUGUGCCGCUAUUCAUGCCAGUAGUGCAUCAAAUCAUAUCUUUGGUAUUUGUGCCACAGUUGUUCCCUCUGCCUCUCCGGGAAGCAGAAAUGUGGGUGGUGGAGCCUCUUGCCCUGCAGAAUGUUUGCUACAGAGAUGUCUGGUGAUGAGCUGGAUUUGUUUGCAUUUUUCAAAUUCUUGUUUUCAUUGUUGUUGUUUUGGAAUGCACACAUUGCCAUCUGCAUUUAGAAGGCAAAGUCAAGAAAGCAGACUUCUCUGGAUUGUGAGCUUCUGCAAUUAUUUAGAUGAUCUUACUGAAGUCACAGUGGCUAUUUAUGUGCUAGAAAUUCAAUGUAUGCAAACUGAGGUUUGAGCUACUGUUUUGUUUGAGUAAAGGUGGCAGCUUGUGUCCCUCACACAAGGACAUCAACUCUUGGGUUUUUAUAUAUAGAACAUAAAAUGCCUCUUCCACGAAACUACUUAUGAAAGAAACAAUAGAGAAACACAAAUAAUGAAAAAAGUAUUGUUAAAAAUGCACAUGAAAUUUCUGUGGGAAAUAAGUUUUAAUUGAGGACUUAAAGGAAAAAAGAAACGAAAGCAUAUACAUUUUAUUGCCAAUAGUUUAUACCACUUAAUUAAUGUAUACAUUUUUGUUGUUUCACAAAACAACUAUAUAAUCACUCAGAUAUCUCAGGUAUUGUUAGUCUCGUCAGCCUUAUUCUGCUUUCUUGAGAGUGGCUGGGCAGCCAGCUGAACAGUGGUUGAGACAUUAGAGCCUGGUUACAAACAACAGUAAGUGUAUGUUGGUUUUCUUGUGACUAUUCUCUGGUCUGAGUAUGAGGCAAAAGUUACAGAUGUGGUUAUUUGAAAACAGGCUUGGAGUUAUAUGAGGAACUAAGUGAUUCAUCAGUAGAUCAUCACAGAUCUGCAACUUUGACUAAGAUGACGGCAGAUGAGCUUAGGCUCAUAUGAGCUUUCUGUCAUGGUUAUCACAAAAAACAGGAAUAUUUUAUUAAGAUUUAGUUUACCACAGGGAAGCUAAUAUACAAUCAGCCUCUGUGUGAAUCUUGUUAAUGUGCCCAGUGACUUACUUCCUCCCAGAAAGCUGAAUAAGCUACUUUUCAUAUGCAGAGUUGGGCACGAGCAGUAUGUCCCAGCUUACCUCAUGUCAACUUGGUUCACUUAUUUUCUUCAUUGCUGUUCAGAUUGGCUGAUGCCAUUUAGCUUGCCCGUGUUUCCACACACAGCUGCAUAAGUGAUCCUGUAUGUAUCACAAGAAAUGAUGCUUCAGCAUGUCGAUAAGAUGCUUUUCAGCAUUGUUGAAGAUGAUCAGAGGGCUGGAGCACCUCCCCUACACAGACAGGCUGAGAGAGCUGGGGCUCUUCAGUCUGGACAAGAGAAGGCUCCAGGGGCACCUUAUAGUGACCUUCCAUUACCUAAAGGGGCCUACAGGAAAGCUGGGGAGGGACUUUUUAUAAGGGCAUGUAGUGAC